AAGAAACCAACAGGGAUUGCCCUAGUAACGGCGAGUGAAGCGGCAACAGCUCAAAUUUGAAAUCUGGCCUUCGGGUCCGAAUUGUAAUUUGUAGAGGAUGCUUUUGGUGCGGUGCCUUCCGAGUUCCUUGGAACAGGACGCCUUAGAGGGUGAGAGCCCCGUACGGUUGGACACCAAGCCUCUGUAAAGCUCCUUCGACGAGUCGAGUAGUUUGGGAAUGCUGCUCUAAAUGGGAGGUAAAUUUCUUCUAAAGCUAAAUACCGGCCAGAGACCGAUAGCGCACAAGUAGAGUGAUCGAAAGAUGAAAAGUACUUUGAAAAGAGGGUUAAAUAGCACGUGAAAUUGUUGAAAGGGAAGCGUUUAUGACCAGACCUUUGCCUGGCGGAUCAUCCGGUGUUCCUCACCGGUGCACUUCGCCUGGCUUAGGCCAGCAUCGAUUUCUGGAGGGGGAUAAAGACCAUGGGAACGUAGCUCUCUUCGGGGAGUGUUAUAGCCCUAGGUGUAAUACCCUUCCGGGGAUCGAGGUUCGCGCUCCGGCAAGGAUGCUGGCGUAAUGGUCAUCAACGACCCGUCUUGAAACACGGACCAAGGAGUCGAACAUUUAUGCGAGUGUUUGGGUGUCAAACCCUCACGCGUAAUGAAAGUGAACGGAGGUGAGAGCCCUCUAGGGUGCAUCAUCGACCGAUCCUGAUGUCUUCGGAUGGAUUUGAGUAAGAGCAUAACUGUUCGGACCCGAAAGAUGGUGAACUAUGCGUGGAUAGGGUGAAGCCAGAGGAAACUCUGGUGGAGGCUCGCAGCGGUUCUGACGUGCAAAUCGAUCGUCAAAUCUGCGCAUGGGGGCGAAAGACUUAUCGAACCAUC
rnacentral:rRNA from 1 species